AGAGUUUGAUCCUGGCUCAGAACGAACGCUGGCGGCAGGCUUAAUACAUGCAAGUCGAACGAGACCCUGGAGCUUGCUCUAGGUGACAGUGGCAGACGGGUGAGUAACGCGUGGCAACCUACCCUUCGGUGGGGGACAACAGUUGGAAACGACUGCUAAUACCCCAUACGUCCUCCGGGAGAAAGAUUCAUCGCCGAUGGAUGGGGCCGCGUUAGAUUAGCUAGAUGGUGGGGUAAUGGCCUACCAUGGCGACGAUCUAUAGCGGGUCUGAGAGGAUGAUCCGCCACACUGGGACUGAGACACGGCCCAGACUCCUACGGGAGGCAGCAGUAGGGAAUAUUGGACAAUGGGCGAAAGCCUGAUCCAGCCAUGCCGCGUGAAUGAUGAAGGCCUUAGGGUUGUAAAAUUCUUUCGCUAGGGAAGAUAAUGACUGUACCUAGUAAAGAAGCCCCGGCUAACUCCGUGCCAGCAGCCGCGGUAAUAAGGGCGA
rnacentral:rRNA from 1 species